UACGUAGGGGGCUAGCGUUAUCCGGAUUUACUGGGCGUAAAGGGUGCGUAGGCGGUCUUUCAAGUCAGGAGUGAAAGGCUACGGCUCAACCGUAGUAAGCUCUUGAAACUGGAAGACUUGAAUCAUGGAGAGGAAAGUGGAAUUCCUAGUGUAGCGGUGAAAUGCGUAGAUAUUAGGAGGAAUACCGGUGGCGAAGGCGACUUUCUGGACAUGUAUUGACGCUGAGGUACGAAAGCGUGGGGAGCAAACAGGAUUAGAUACCCGUGUAGUCCCUGAG
rnacentral:rRNA from 1 species